UACGGAGGGGGCUAGCGUUGUUCGGAAUUACUGGGCGUAAAGCGCACGUAGGCGGCUUUGUAAGUUAGAGGUGAAAGCCCGGGGCUCAACUCCGGAACUGCCUUUAAAACUGCAUCGCUUGAAUCCAGGAGAGGUGAGUGGAAUUCCGAGUGUAGAGGUGAAAUUCGUAGAUAUUCGGAAGAACACCAGUGGCGAAGGCGGCUCACUGGACACAUAUUGACGCUGAGGUGCGAAAGCGUGGGGAGCAAACAGG
rnacentral:rRNA from 1 species